rnacentral:rRNA from 1 species
AGUAGCUAUUAGUAAAUAAGUAGAUAAUACCGAAUACGAGCACAGGGGGUUAGAGAUCUGUGAGGAAAGGAGCUAAGGCUCCGCUGAAGGAAUGGCCUGCGGCCCAUUAGCUAGUUGGUGAGGUAAGAGCCCACCAAGGCGAUGAUGGGUAUCCGGCCUUAGAGGGUGAACGGACACAUUGGGACUGAGAUACGGCCCAGACUCCUACGGGAGGCAGCAGCUAAGAAUAUUCCGCAAUGGACGAAAGUCUGACGGAGCGACGCCGCGUGGAAUGAAGAAGGCCGGAAGGUUGUAAAAUCCUUUUGAAACUGAAGAAUAAGCGUUGUAGGGAAUGACAGCGUGGUGACAGUAGGUUUUGAAUAAGCAACGGCUAAUUACGUGCCAGCAGCGGC